UUGCAGAGAUAAGAGAAGCAUUCAAGGACAGAAUUCCUGAGGAUGUCAGUAUUGAACUUUUGAUGGCCUGUGGAAACAAACUGGUUUCCCCAAAGUUGCGUGAAGGCCAGGAACUGAAUGCCUUUAUGAUUCACAAGAUAUUCAAAUCAAAGGCGGUGUACAUUAGGCCAUCAAGCAAUCUUCCAUUUCCGUUUGACAGCACAGAUUCAGAGGACAGUUGUGUGGAGGCUGACACUACAUCAGCUUCUAGUGACCACAGAACUACCACUGCCAGUGAGACCAGUAACUGUAUGACUACAAGGGCCAGGAGAAACCAAAUUGCAUCAACACAGCAGAUUUCUAGUUAUCCUUGCACAAGAAGGGCCAGAGCUAACCAGCCCUCUGCAACACAGCAAGCGACCAGUGAUUCCAUGGCCAGAGCUAACCAGCCCUCUGCAACACAGCAAGCGACCAGUGAUUCCAUGGCCAGAGCU